rnacentral:rRNA from 1 species
UUUUGAUCUGAAAUCAGGUAGGAUUACCCGCUGAACUUAAGCAUAUCAAUAAGCGGAGGA